UACGGGGGGGGCAAGCGUUGUUCGGAAUUACUGGGCGUAAAGGGCCAGUAGGCGGCCAACUAAGUCGGAUGUGAAAUCCCCAGGCUUAACCUGGGAACUGCAUCCGAUACUGGAUGGCUUGAAUUCGGGAGAGGGAUGCAGAAUUCCAGGUGUAGCGGUGAAAUGCGUAGAUAUCUGGAGGAAUACCGGUGGCGAAGGCGACUCUCUGGGCUGUAACUGACGCUGAGGCGCGAAAGCGUGGGGAGCAAACAGG
rnacentral:rRNA from 1 species